CAUAAUAAACGGUUAGCUUUAGUUUAAUUUUUUUAAUUUUUUUUUUCUGAUGAAAACUUUUUUUAUAGCUCUGUAUAGUUUUUUAUUUUGCAAAAAAUUUAUGGCAAAUGAAUUAAAGUUAAGUUUAACACCGAGUGAAAGCCUAAACGAUUUGCUUCAAAAAAGUAACGAGCUUAACAAAAAUGUAGAAAAUUCUCUAUUCGAAACAUAUGAUAAAGCUUUAUCUUUAUAUUAUAACAAAUUUUUAUCUCAAACUACUACACAAGGUUUAUCCUUUGAAGAACAAACAAGCCAAGGGUUUGCAAAUGAUAGCACUUAUUUGUUAGAAGUUACCGACAUUACUCUUACGCCAAUACAUCAAAAUAGUACCGACAUAUUUCAAACCGCGACAAUAGAUUCUACGUUAAUUGAAUUGUUUUCAAGCAAGAUCCCUAGGGAAAAUUCAACUUUAAUUAAUGUUUAUGAUAGUAUUUCAUUUAUUUGGAGUAAUGCAGAAUCUCAAGCGACAUUAUCUAAUUACACAAUGAUACCAGGUAUAGAGCUUGAUUCAUCGUUAGUUCCAGGUUUUGUUUCAACAUUAUCACAAAGCGUUGCCGAAUUCCUUUUUACAAAUGAAAAUAACACAAACAUUGUAUACGAAACUGUUACUCCAAGUUUCUCUUUAAUUUCUCAAUCAAUAUACUACAGCGUCGAAAGUAGUUUUUUUGAAACCGCUAUUCAAGAGGUCGAAACUUCUCUUGUUCUUAGUUUGUCAAACUAUAACAGCGAUAUUUCAGACGUCGACAAUUAUAAAAUAACCCCUACCAACAAUAUAAAUUUCUCGACGCCCAUUCCAACUUGGUUUAAUACCAACUAUAUGUAUGAUAAUAUUAGUAGUAAAAUCAAUUUGAAUCAAUUUUCAGAAAACGUAUCAUUAUUAACCUUAGUGCAAAAUGUCACCAAGAACGAGUCCGAUUUUGACGUCAAAACAACUAUAUACAAAACAAUUAUCUACAGCUUGUUUAAUUGUGACAUUUAUAACUUCACCGGUUAUAAUAUUAGUGAAUAUAACAUGACAUGGAAUAGAAAGUGUGUUGACAAAGUAAAUACUCUGGUGAAUAUAUACCCCCACGGCAUAAACUUCCUCCAAGAAGAAGAAAUAAAGAAGCAUGGGUUUUAAGGCAUAUCGAUAGAUUUCCCAACAAAAGUGUCACCACAUAAUAGUAGAAAGAAGUUUAAAAAGCAUUUAACGAGAAACUUCACUUUCUUACCAAAUGGUGCUUUUAUGGGUGGAGCAAGCAUCGAAUAUUGGACUUGGAUUCAAAAGCUAGCGCUCUAAACACUGCGUCAUGGCUGCUCAAAACCACAUAUAUUAAUAUACAACUAAAAUAUAUUUUGCGUAA
rnacentral:misc_RNA from 1 species